rnacentral:rRNA from 1 species
UACGGAGGGGGCUAGCGUUGUUCGGAAUUACUGGGCGUAAAGCGUGCGCAGGCGGUCUUUUAAGUCAGAUGUGAAAUCCCCGGGCUUAACCUGGGAACUGCGUUUGAAACUGGAAGGCUUGAGUGUGGCAGAGGGGGGUGGAAUUCCACGUGUAGCAGUGAAAUGCGUAGAGAUGUGGAGGAACACCGAUGGCGAAGGCAGCCCCCUGGGCUAACACUGACGCUCAUGCACGAAAGCGUGGGGAGCAAACAGG